rnacentral:rRNA from 1 species
GACGAACGCUGGCGGCGUGCCUAAUACAUGCAAGUCGAACGGUCUUUUCUAUGGAAGCUUGCUUCCACUGAGAAGAUAGUGGCGAACGGGUGAGUAACACGUGGGUAACCUGCCCAUAAGAGGGGGAUAACAUCCGGAAACGGGUGCUAAUACCGCAUAGUUUUCUUGAUCGCAUGAUCGGGAAAGGAAAGACGGCCUUUGUGCUGUCGCUUAUGGAUGGACCCGCGACGUAUUAGUUAGUUGGUGAGGUAAUGGCUCACCAAGACGAUGAUACGUAGCCGACCUGAGAGGGUGAUCGGCCACAUUGGGACUGAGACACGGCCCAAACUCCUACGGGAGGCAGCAGUAGGGAAUCUUCCGCAAUGGACGAAAGUCUGACGGAGCAACGCCGCGUGAGUGAAGAAGGUUUUCGGAUCGUAAAACUCUGUUGUCAGAGAAGAACAAGUUGGAGAGUAACUGCUCCAGCCUUGACGGUAUCUGACCAGAAAGCCACGGCUAACUACGUGCCAGCAGCCGCCGUAACAC